GAUAAGGAAAAUAAGGCAAACAAGGUUAAGUGACUUGACUAGAGUCACAUAACUAAGGUGAGAUUUGAACUCUGAAAGAUGGGACAUCUUGGCACAGGCACAGUACUCCACUGAGCAACAAACCACCCUGUUUCCAGGAACUUAUUGGUGACUCUUCCUUAGAAUAAAGAAAAAUGUUGUGUCAUAAAAAAAAGAAAGUGAACCAAACCACUAUCAUAGAGGAAUGCAAGAAUGGAAGCAUCACUCACAACUGGGAGGAACCAAGGAAUAUUGACAACCAGAUGAUCUCAAGGCAUGAGAGAGGUACAAGAAUUUUGGAAGAUACCCACAGGGACCUGUGAUGCUAAGUG